AUACGUAGGGUGCAAGCGUUAAUCGGAAUUACUGGGCGUAAAGCGUGCGCAGGCGGUUUUGUAAGACAGAGGUGAAAUCCCCGGGCUCAACCUGGGAACUGCCUUUGUGACUGCAAGGCUAGAGUACGGCAGAGGGGGGAGGAAUUUCGCGGGUCGAGGUGAAAUGCGUAGAUAUGCGGAGGAACACCGAUGGCGAAGGCAAUCCCCUGGGCCUGUACUGACGCUCAUGCACGAAAGCGUGGGGAGCAAACAGGAUUAGAUACCCUGGUAGUCCACGCCCUAAACGAUGUCAACUGGUUGUUGGGUCUUCAUUGACUCAGUAACGAAGCUAACGCGUGAAGUUGACCGCCUGGGGAGUACGGCCGCAAGGUUGAAACUUAAAGGAAUUGACGGGG
rnacentral:rRNA from 1 species